rnacentral:rRNA from 1 species
GCUGGCGGCGUACCUAACACAUGCAAGUCGAACGAGAAAUUCCGAUUCGUCGGGAGAGUAAAGUGGCGAACGGGUGAGUAAGACGAGGGUUAAUUUGCCCUUGAGUUAGGGAUAACUUUGCGAAAGCGAAGCUAAUACCUGAUAAGACUACGAUCUCUUCGGAGAUAGUAGGAAAAGGUGGCCUCUGUUCAAGCUAUCGCUUGAGGAUGAGCCCUUGUACUAUUAGCUUGUUGGUGAGGUAAUGGCUCACCAAGGCAACGAUGGUUAGUUGGUCUGAGAGGAUGACCAACCACACUGGAACUGAGACACGGUCCAGACUCCUACGGGAGGCAGCAGUGAGGAAUAUUGCGCAAUGGGGGAAACCCUGACGCAGUGACGCCGCGUGAGUGAUGAAGGCUUUCGAGUCGUAAAGCUCUGUUAGGUGGAAAGAAAAAUUCCAGUGCCAAUACCACUGGGACUUGACGGUACCACCAGAGGAAGCACCGGCUAACUCCGUG